GACGUAGGAUGCGAGCGUUAUUCGGAUUUAUUGGGCGUAAAGCGUGCGUAGGCGGCUGUUUAAGUCUGGUGUUAAAGCUAGGGGCUCAACCCCUGUGGUGCAUCGGAUACUGGGCAGCUUGAGUGCGGUAGGGGAAGGUGGAAUUCCGAGUGUAGCGGUGAAAUGCGUAGAUAUUCGGAAGAACACCGGUGGCGAAGGCGACCUUCUGGGCCGCAACUGACGCUGAGGCACGAAAGCCUGGGGAGCGAACGGGAUUAGAUACCCCGGUAGUCCAGGCUGUAAACGAUGAUCACUAGGUGUAGGGGGUAUCGACCCCUCCUGUGCCGUAGCUAACGCGUUAAGUGAUCCGCCUGGGGAGUACGGUCGCAAGACUGAA
rnacentral:rRNA from 1 species